rnacentral:rRNA from 1 species
AGCGGCGGAUGGGUGAGUAACACGUGGGGAACCUGCCCCUAAGUCUGGGAUACCAUUUGGAAACAGGUGCUAAUACCGGAUAAUAAAGCAGAUCGCAUGAUCAGCUUUUGAAAGGCGGCGUAAGCUGUCGCUAAGGGAUGGCCCCGCGGUGCAUUAGCUAGUUGGUAAGGUAACGGCUUACCAAGGCGACGAUGCAUAGCCGAGUUGAGAGACUGAUCGGCCACAUUGGGACUGAGACACGGCCCAAACUCCUACGGGAGGCAGCAGUAGGGAAUCUUCCACAAUGGACGCAAGUCUGAUGGAGCAACGCCGCGUGAGUGAAGAAGGUUUUCGGAUCGUAAAGCUCUGUUGUUGGUGAAGAAGGAUAGAGGUAGUAACUGGCCUUUAUUUGACGGUAAUCAACCAGAAAGUCACGGCUAACUACGUGCCAGCAGCCGCGGUAAUACGUAGGUGGCAAGCGUUGUCCGGAUUUAUUGGGCGUAAAGCGAGCGCAGGCGGAAAAAUAAGUCUAAUGUGAAAGCCCUCGGCUUAACCGAGGAACUGCAUCGGAAAUUGUUUUUCUUGAGUGCAGAAGAGGAGAGUGGAACUCCAUGUGUAGCGGUGGAAUGCGUAGAUAUAUGGAAGAACACCAGUGGCGAAGGCGGCUCUCUGGUCUGCAACUGACGCUGAGGCUCGAAAGCAUGGGUAGCGAACAGGAUUAGAUACCCUGGUAGUCCAUGCCGUAAACGAUGAGUGCUAAGUGU